UGGGGAAUCUUGCGCAAUGCGCGACAGCGUGACGCAGCAACGCCGCGUGGGUGAAGAAGGCCUUCGGGUUGUAAAUCCCUUUCAGGAGGGACGAAGCUUCGGGAGUGAAUAGCUCUCCGGAGUGACGGUACCUCCACAAGAAGCCCCGGCUAACUACGUGCCAGCAGCCGCGGUAAUACGUAGGGGGUUAGCGUUGUCCGGAAUCAUUGGGCGUAAAGAGCGCGUAGGCGGCCAGAUAAGUCCGGUGUGAAAGUCAAAGGCUCAACCUUUGAAUGCCGCUGGAAACUGUCUGGCUAGAGUCCGGGAGGGGCGAGUGGAAUUCCUGUUGUAGCGGUGAAAUGCGCAGAUAUCAGGAGGAACACCAAUGGCGAAGGCAGCUCGCUGGAACGGUACUGACGCUGAGGCGCGAAGGCGUGGGGAGCGAACAGG
rnacentral:rRNA from 1 species